GAGAGAGAGAGAGAGAGAGUCUCUUAACAGGAUUUAAACCUAUCAUUCUUGGCUUUGGCUUAUGAGAUGAGUUCUGAUAUUUCAUAAAUUCAAUUUCAGACAAACUUAAGUAUAAAUUUUUUGUUGAUUUAAUAUGUUUUUUUGUCCAGUUGUCCAGAAUUUCUAGCACUGGCAAUUAUCUGAGUGCCAUGAACUUGUUAAA
rnacentral:misc_RNA from 1 species